rnacentral:rRNA from 1 species
CCUACGGGAGGCUGCAGUGGGGGAUAUUGCACAAUGGGGGAAACCCUGAUGCAGCGACGCCGCGUGGGCGAAGAAGUAUUUCGGUAUGUAAAGCCCUAUCAGCCGGGAAGAAGAAAUGACGGUACCUGAGUAAGAAGCACCGGCUAACUACGUGCCAGCAGCCGCGGUAAUACGUAGGUGGCAGGCGUUGUCCGGAAUUACUGGGUGGAAAGGGAGCGCAGGCGGGAAGUCAAGUCAGCUGUGAAAACUACGGGCUUAACUUGUAGACUGCAGUUGAAACUGGUUUUCGUGAGUGAAGUAGAGGUUGGCGGAAUUCCGGGUGUAGCGGUGAAAUGCGUAGAUAUUCGGAGGAACACCGGUGGCGAAGGCGGCCAACUGGGCUUUAACUGACGCUGAGGCUCGAAAGUGUGGGGAGCAAACAGGAUUAGAUACCCCAGUAGUC